rnacentral:rRNA from 1 species
AGGGCUUACGGGGGAUGCCUUGGCGCUAAGAGCCGAAGAAGGGCGCGGCAAGUCUGCGAUAUUCCCGGAGGAGCGGUCUAGCACGCUGAGUCCGGGGUGCCCGAAUGGGGAAACCUGGUGAAGGUCUUAAGCCUUCAUCAUCUCUAAGGGUGGCCUUAGAGAAGGGAACUGGGGGAACUGAAACAUCUAAGUACCCUGAGGAAGAGGAAGCAACAGCGAUGCCCUGAGUAGCGGCGAGCGGAAGGGGCAGUGCCUAAACCUAGAAGACCUAACGGCCUGGGGGCCUAUGUCUUUUAGGGGUUGUGGGGAUUCCUAUUUAUUGAUCCCAGUCAAUAAACAAUUAUUAUAUGAGGUUAGCCGAAGGUCCCUGGAAGGGGCCGCCAUAGACGGUGAUAGCCCGGUAGGCGAAAACUGAAUAUAAGUUGAGGAAUUUCCCAAGUACCGCGGGACACGAGGAAUCCCGUGGGAAUCUGGGGGGACCACCCUCCAAGGCGACAUACUCUUAGCGACCGAUAGUGAACCAGUACCGUGAGGGAAAGGUGAAAAAUACCCCGAAAGGGGGGUGAAAAGAUCUGAAACCGUGAGCCUACAGACAGUCAGGGUCCACCUUCGGGUGGAUGAUGGCGUGCUUAUUGAAGAAUGAUCCGAGGAGUUUUUGGAAGCGGCAAGGUUAAGGAAGUGGACUUCCGGAGCCGGAGGGAAACCAAGUCCGAAUAGGGCGAAUUAGUCGUUUUCAGAAGACGCGAAACCGGGCGAGCUACCCAUGGCCAGGAUGAAGGUUCGUUAAUCCGAACUGAAAGACCGAACCCGUGAUCGGGACAAAGAUCUGGGAUGAGUUGUGGGUAGAGGUGAAAUGCCAAUCGAGCUCGGAGAUAGCUCGUUCUCCCCGAAAUGCUUUUAGGAGCAGCCGUGAAGUUUAGGAUACCGGAGGUAGGGCUCUGGAUGGGUUAGGGGGCGCGAGCUUACCAACCCCAACCAAACCACCAAUGCCGGUAUACCGUAUUCACGAGUGAGACGGUGAGGGAUAAGCUCCAUCGUCGAAAGGGAAACAGCCCAGACCGUCGGCUAAGGCCCCAAAGUACUGACUCAGUGAAAAAGGAUGUGAGGUUCCCCAGACAGCCGGGAGGUUGGCUUAGAAGCAGCCACCCUUUAAAGAGUGCGUAAUAGCUCACCGGUCGAGGGGUCCUGCGCCGAAAAUGUAACGGGACUUAAGUCAGUCGCCGAAGCCACGGACUUGAUGGAAACAUUGAGUGGUAGGGGAGCGUCCCCGUCUGCGUUGAAGGAUAUCCGGCAAGGCUAUCUGGAGUGACGGGGAGUGAGAAUCUCGGAAUGAGUAGCGUAAACUAUGGUGAAAAUCCAUAGCGCCGAAAGCCUGAGGAUUCCUACGGAACGUUAAACGGCGUAGGGUUAGUCGGGGCCUAAGGUGAGGCCGAAAGGCGUAGCCGAUGGACAGCUGGUUAAAAUUCCAGCACCAUCCAUUGUGCGUUGAAACAAGAAGGACGGGGUAGGAAAGGCGAAGCAUCCCCAUCGGACAUGGGGUGUUGGCCCUUGUAGGCUAUAUGCUGAGGAGGGUCAAAAUCUUUGGCUUAGGUCAAAGAAAUUUCGUUGACCUCCAUGCCUCCAAGAAAAGCCUCUUGCGGAGCUAUAUGGGUGCCCGUACCGCAAACCGCCACUGGUGGGCAGGUGUGAGAACACCAAGGCGUUCGAGAUAACUCUUGCUAAGGAACUCGGCAAAAGGGCCCCGUAACUUCGGGAUAAGGGGCGCCCGGGGUGUGUAGGGACUUGCUCCUGAAGCAUCUGCGGGCCGCAGCGUAGCAUCUCUGGCGACUGUUUACCAAAAACCUAGGUCUCUGCUAAGGGGAGAACCCGAUGUAUAGAGACUGACGCCUGCCCAGUGCCGGAAGGUUAACGAGAGGGGUUAUUCACCUUCGGGUGGAGAAGCUCUGAACCGAAGCCCCGGUGAACGGCGGCCGUAACUCUAACGGUCCUAAGGUAGCGAAAUCCCUUGUCGGGUAAGUUCCGACCCGCAUGAAUGGCGGAACGACUGGAGAACUGUCUCAGCAGGAGACUCGGUGAAAUUGCAAGGCGAGUGAAGAUGCUCGCGACCCGCGGCGGGACAAAAAGACCCCGUGGAGCUUUACUGCACCCUGGUAUCGGACUCGGGUUCGUGAUGUGUAGGAUAGGUGGGAGGCAAUGAAAGGUUUCCGUCAGGAGGCCUGGAGCCGCUGGUGAAAUACCACCCUUCUCCAAUUUGGGCCCUCACUCCGGCUUACCCACCGGAGGACUAUGCCAGGCGGGUAGUUUGACUGGGGCGGUCGCCUCCCAAAAGGUAACGGAGGCGCCCAAAGGUCUCCUCAGGACGGAUGGUAUCGUCCGGUGCGUGUAUGGGCAGAAGGAGGCUUGACUGUGCGGCAUACAAGCCAAGCAGGGGCGAAAGCCGGGCCAAGUGAUCCCACGGUUCCGAGUGGAAGGGCCGUGGCUUAACGGAUAAAAGCUACCCCGGGGAUAACAGGCUAAUCUUACCCAAGAGUUCCUAUCGACGGUAAGGUUUGGCACCUCGAUGUCGACUCGUCACAUCCUGGGGCUGUAGGCGGUCCCAAGGGUUGGGCUGUUCGCCCAUUAAAGUGGUACGUGAGUUGGGUUCAGAACGUCGUGAGACAGUUCGGUCUCUAUCUGCCGUGGGCGUAGGAGUCUUGCGGGGACAUCUCCCUAGUACGAGAGGACCGGGAGGUACGAUCCUCUGGUGUUCCGGUGGUCCUGCCAAGGGCCCCGCCGGGUAGCUAUGAUCGGCCAGGAGAAGUGCUGAAGGCAUCUAAGCGCGAAACCAGCCCCAAGAUAAGGACUCCCAUUUAUUAUGAAGUAAGGUCACAGGUAGACUACCUGAUUAGAGGACGGAGGUGGAAGACGGGUAACCGUUGCAGCUGACCGUUUCUCAUAGACCGAGGCCUUCCCC